rnacentral:rRNA from 1 species
AGUGAACGCUGGCGGUAGGCCUAACACAUGCAAGUCGAACGGCAGCACAGGAGAGCUUGCUCUCUGGGUGGCGAGUGGCGGACGGGUGAGGAAUACAUCGGAAUCUACUUUUUCGUGGGGGAUAACGUAGGGAAACUUACGCUAAUACCGCAUACGACCUACGGGUGAAAGCAGGGGAUCUUCGGACCUUGCGCGAUUGAAUGAGCCGAUGUCGGAUUAGCUAGUUGGCGGGGUAAAGGCCCACCAAGGCGACGAUCCGUAGCUGGUCCGAGGGGAGGAUCAGCCACACUGGAACUGAGACACGGUCCAGACUCCUACGGGAGGCAGCAGUGGGGAAUAUUGGGCAAUGGGCGCAAGCCUGAUCCAGCCAUACCGCGUGGGUGAAGAAGGCCUUCGGGUUGUAAAGCCCUUUUGUUGGGAAAGAAAUCCAGCUGGCUAAUACCCGGUUGGGAUGACGGUACCCAAAGAAUAAGCACCGGCUAACUUCGUGCCAGCCGCCGCCGCGG